rnacentral:other from 1 species
UGACCUCUGUCAUGUUCGUCAAGGAGAAUAUUCUCGAACCGACUCCAUUUCUUGAGGGAGCCUAAUAUCCGCUGCUCGAGGUCACACCUCUUCAAGAGGCAUACCGAGACGACGGUGCGGUUCCCACCUGAGCCUGCGGGUUCAGAAUUGCAAGAUCCUGGCGGCAUUGCGAUGGAGGUCUU